UGGGGGAUAUUGCACAAUGGGCGACAGCCUGAUGCAGCGACGCCGCGUGGGGGAUGAAGGCUUUCGGGAUGUAAACCUCUUUCGCUAUCGAACAAGGUCCGCUUAGGGUGGGUGGAGGGUAGGUGGAGAAGAAGCGCCGGCUAACUACGUGCCAGCAGCCGCGGUAAUACGUAGGGCGCGAGCGUUGGCCGGAAUUAUUGGGCGUAAAGGGCUUGUAGGCGGGGUGUUGCGCCUGCUGUGAAAACGCGGGGCUUCACUUCGCGCGUGCAGUGGGUACGGACAGGCUUGAGUGUGGUAGGGGUGGCUGGGAUUCCAAGUGUAGCGGUGGAAUGCGCAGAUAUCUGGAGGAACGCCGAUGGCGAAGGCAGGUCACUGGGCCAUUACUGACGCUGAGGAGCGAAAGCAUGGGUAGCGAACAGG
rnacentral:rRNA from 1 species